GGAUGUGAGGGCCAUCUGGCUGUGACAUCUGUCACCCCAUUGACUUCCAGGGUUGAUUCAGCUGGUCUGGUUGCCCAGCUGAGUGUCCCCUUCCUUACCAUUCCGUGCGUAUCCCUCCAGAAGCUGCACACUCGGGAGGAGGACCUUCUCAGAAUAGAGGAGGACCCAUCUCAGUCAAGGGUGUACCAGUAGCUGCACUCCCCGGCUAGAACCUCCACACAGCUCAAGGUCCACAUCCAUAUCUUUACGUGCUGUCAUACUUAGGUUAGGUGUCACCUCACUUUGAAACCUUUAUCAAAAGUGGUUAUUACAA
rnacentral:snRNA from 1 species